rnacentral:rRNA from 1 species
GAGGAAAGAGGGAGGCGUGCCUAAUACAUGCAAGUCGAGCGAACGGACGAGAAGCUUGCUUCUCUGAUGUUAGCGGCGGACGGGUGAGUAACACGUGGAUAACCUACCUAUAAGACUGGGAUAACUUCGGGAAACCUGAGCUAAUACCGGAUGAUAUUUUGAACCGCAUGGUUCAAAAGUGAAAGACGGUCUUGCUGUCACUUAUAGAUGGAUCCGCGCUGCAUUAGCUAGUUGGUAAGGUAACGGCUUACCAAGGCAACGAUGCAUAGCCGACCUGAGAGGGUGAUCGGCCACACUGGAACUGAGACACGGUCCAGACUCCUACGGGAGGCAGCAGUAGGGAAUCUUCCGCAAAGGGCGAAAGCCUGACGGAGCAACGCCGCGUGAGUGAUGAAGGUCUUCGGAUCGUAAAACUCUGUUAUUAGGGAAGAACAUAUGUGUAAGUAACUGUGCACAUCUUGACGGUACCUAAUCAGAAAGCCACGGCUAACUACGUG